rnacentral:rRNA from 1 species
UACGAAGGGGGCGAGCGUUGUUCGGAAUUACUGGGCGUAAAGAGACGUGGUAGGCGGUCCGCGAGGCUGAUGGAUGUCUGCUGUGAAAAACUCGAGGCUUAACCUCGAGCUGUCGGCGGAAACCAUCUGGCUAGAGUCCGGAAGAGGAGAAUGGAAUUCCCGGUGUAGCGGUGAAAUGCGCAGAUAUCGGGAAGAACACCCGUGGCGAAGGCGGCUCACUGGCCCGGUACUGACGCUGAGGUGCGAAAGCGUGGGGAGCAAACAGG